rnacentral:rRNA from 1 species
AACGUAGGAGGCGAGCGUUAUCCGGAUUUACUGGGUGUAAAGCGCGUGCAGGCGGUUUACUAAGUUGGGUGUGAAAGCUCCUGGCUCAACUGGGAGAGGUCGCUCAAGACUGGUAGACUCGAGAGCAGUAGGGGAAGGUGGAAUUCCGGGUGUAGUGGUGAAAUGCGUAGAUAUCCGGAGGAACACCAGUGGCGAAGGCGGCCUUCUAGACUGUAUCUGACGCUCAGACGCGAAAGCUAGGGUAGCAAACGGG